UCCAAGGCUAAAUACUCCUGACUGACCGAUAGUGAACCAGUACCGUGAGGGAAAGGCGAAAAGAACCCCGGCGAGGGGAGUGAAAAAGAACCUGAAACCGUGUACGUACAAGCAGUGGGAGCACGCUUAGGCGUGUGACUGCGUACCUUUUGUAUAAUGGGUCAGCGACUUAUAUUCUGUAGCAAGGUUAACCGAAUAGGGGAGCCGAAGGGAAACCGAGUCUUAACUGGGCGUUAAGUUGCAGGGUAUAGACCCGAAACCCGGUGAUCUAGCCAUGGGCAGGUUGAAGGUUGGGUAACACUAACUGGAGGACCGAACCGACUAAUGUUGAAAAAUUAGCGGAUGACUUGUGGCUGGGGGUGAAAGGCCAAUCAAACCGGGAGAUAGCUGGUUCUCCCCGAAAGCUAUUUAGGUAGCGCCUCGUGAAUUCAUCUCCGGGGGUAGAGCACUGUUUCGGCAAGGGGGUCAUCCCGACUUACCAACCCGAUGCAAACU
rnacentral:rRNA from 1 species